rnacentral:rRNA from 1 species
UCUGGUGACAAUGGCAAGGAGGUCACACCUGUUCCCAUGCCGAACACAGAAGUUAAGCUCCUUAGCGCCGAUGGUAGUCGGAUUUAC